GACGAACGCUGGCGGCGUGCUUAACACAUGCAAGUCGAACGGAAAGGCCCUGCUUUUGUGGGGUGCUCGAGUGGCGAACGGGUGAGUAAAACGUGAGUAACCUGCCCUUGACUUUGGGAUAACUUCAGGAAACUGGGGCUAAUACCGGAUAGGAGCUCCUGCUGCAUGGUGGGGGUUGGAAAGAUUCGGCGGUUGGGGAUGGACUGGCGGCUUAUCGGCUUGUUGGUGGGGUAGUGGCUUACCAAGGCUUUGACGGGUAGCCGGCCUGAGAGGGUGACCGGCCACAUUGGGACUGAGAUACGGCGCAGACUCCUACGGGAGGCAGCAGUGGGGAAUAUUGCACAAUGGGCGGAAGCCUGAUGCAGCAACGCCGCGUGCGGGAUGACGGCCUUCGGGUUGUAAACCGCUUUCGCCUGUGACGAAGCGUGAGUGACGGUAAUGGGUAAGGAAGCACCGGCUAACUACGUG
rnacentral:rRNA from 1 species